UUGAUCAUGGCUCAGAAUCAACGCUGGCGGCGUGCCUCAGACAUGCAAGUCGAACGAUUAAAGCUCUCUUCGGAGAGUGUAUAGAGUGGCGCACGGGUGAGUAACACGUAAGUAAUCUACCUCGGGGUGGGGAAUAACGUUCGGAAACGAACGCUAAUACCGCAUAAUGCAGCGGCUUCUUAUGAAGACAGUUGUUAAAGCAUUUAUGUGCCUGGAGAGGAGCUUGCGGCAGAUUAGCUAGUUGGUAAGGUAAUGGCUUACCAAGGCAACGAUCUGUAGCCGACCUGAGAGGGUGGUCGGUCACACUGACACUGAAUAACGGGUCAGACUCCUACGGGAGGCAGCAGUCGGGAAUUUUGGGCAAUGGGCGAAAGCCUGACCCAGCAACGCCGCGUGAAGGAUGAAGUAUUUCGGUAUGUAAACUUCGUAAAAAUGGGAAGAAUCAAUGACGGUACCAUUUGUAAGGUCCGGCUAACUACGUGCCAGCAGCCGCGGUAAUACGUAGGGACCAAGCGUUGUUCGGAUUUACUGGGCGUAAAGGGCGCGUAGGCGGCGUAACAAGUCACUUGUGAAAUCUCCGGGCUUAACUCGGAACGGUCAAGUGAUACUGUUGUGCUAGAGUAUAGAAGGGGCAAUCGGAAUUCUCGGUGUAGCGGUGAAAUGCGUAGAUAUCGAGAGGAACACCAGAGGCGAAGGCGGAUUGCUAGGCUAAUACUGACGCUGAGGGGCGCGAAAGCC
rnacentral:rRNA from 1 species